GAAUUAUUGGGCGUAAAGAGCUCGUAGGCGGUUUGUCGCGUCUGCUGUGAAAAUCCGAGGCUCAACCUCGGGCCUGCAGUGGGUACGGGCAGGCUAGAGUGCAGUAGGGGAGAUUGGAAUUCCUGGUGUAGCGGUGGAAUGCGCAGAUAUCAGGAGGAACACCAAUGGCGAAGGCAGAUCUCUGGGCCGUAACUGACGCUGAGGAGCGAAAGCAUGGGGAGCGAACAGGAUUAGAUACCCUGGUAGUCCAUGCCGUAAACGUUGGGAACUAGAUGUGGGGACCAUUCCACGGUCUCCGUGUCGCAGCUAACGCAUUAAGUUCCCCGCCUGGGGAGUACGGCCGCAAGGCUAAAACUCAAAGGAAUUGACGGGGGCCGCACAAGCGGCGGAGCAUGCGGAUUAAUUCGAUGCAACGCGAAGAACCUUACCAAGGCUUGACAUAUACCGGAAACGGCUGGAAACAGUCGCCCCGCAAGGUCGGUAUACAGGUGGUGCAUGGUUGUCGUCAGCUCGUGUCGUGAGAUGUUGGGUUAAGUCCCGCAACGAGCGCAACCCUCGUCCUAUGUUGCCAGCACGUAAUGGUGGGAACUCAUGGGAUACUGCCGGGGUCAACUCGGAGGAAGGUGGGGAUGACGUCAAAUCAUCAUGCCCCUUAUGUCUUGGGCUUCACGCAUGCUACAAUGGCCGGUACAAAGGGCUGCGAUACCGCAAGGUGGAGCGAAUCCCAAAAAGCCGGUCUCAGUUCGGAUUGAGGUCUGCAACUCGACCUCAUGAAGUCGGAGUCGCUAGUAAUCGCAGAUCAGCAACGCUGCGGUGAAUACGUUCCCGGGCCUUGUACACACCGC
rnacentral:rRNA from 1 species